UGGUCAAAUAGGCAUGGAGGGCUUCGGGUUGCUCUUGGGUGAGAAUCCUUCACAACUUAAAUCUGUCUACAUGUUGAACUUAAAUCUGUCUUUUUCUACCUAUUAGGUUCAAAUUCUGAAUCUCGUGUUCCCACAUCUAAACUGUGCCUCAAUCAGUCCCUUUUUACAUGGCUUGUUGAUUUUAAGUUGACAGAAUCAUUCUUGUCCAUUACACUACAACAUAAACAAUCCAUGUCAUUGUAUAACAUCCUUUUACGCGUUGUUAUAUAGAUACACUCACUCCAUAAUCUUGUCUUAUCUUCAAUUAUCUUAUGGGGAUUCUUAUUUAGCUUGUAACAUUUUAUAAUCAAAAGCAUGGAGAUGUGUUUAAUUUCUUUUUUAAGUUUGUAUUAUUACCGUAGUUGACGGUACACUAAAACAUCACAUAACUCUGCUAUCCCCCUAAUUGCAAUGACUUUUUCACUCUUUAAUUUUGAUCUUCAAUUGUGUUCCUUGUUUGCAUUAUUGCUUGUUGUGUACAUACCAAAAGCAUUCAAUCAGAAGGCAUUUCAAACUUUAUAUUUUGUUUUUGCAUCAUCUCAGUAGCAUCUAAAUUAGUCUCUUCUUCAUGGCAUAUUGGUUAAAACAAGUCGCUCUAAACAUUCAUGUUUAUUACAACAAUAGCUAAGUUUUAGUUUCAAACUAGUUGAGAUCAGCUA
rnacentral:misc_RNA from 1 species